rnacentral:lncRNA from 1 species
GCAUUAGGGUUUUGAAACCCUAAACUGCACUUUUUCCAUUUAGUCAAUAUUAGGGUUUUAAACUCUAAACUAAACUUUUCCCUUUAGUCAGCAUUAGGGUUUUGAAACCCUAAACUGAACUUUUUCCAUUCAGCCAGCAUUAGGGUUUUAAACCCUAAACUGAACUUUUCCCUUUAGUCAGCAUUAGGGUUUUAAACCCUAAACUGAACUUUUUCCAUUCAGCCAGCAUUAGGGUUUUAAACCCUAAACUGAGCUUUUUCCAUUUAGUCAGCAUUAGGGUUUUAAACCUUAAACUAAACUCUUUCCUUUAGUCAGCAUUAGGGUUUUAAACCCUAAACUGAACUUUUUCUAUUUAGUCAGCAUUAGGGUUUUAAACCCUAAACUGAAUUUUCCCUUUAGUCAGCAUUAGGGUUUUAAACCCUAAACUGAACUUUUUCCAUUCAGCCAGCAUUAGGGUUUUAAACCCUAAACUGAGCUUUUCCAUGCAGUCAGCAUUAGGGUUUUAAACCCUGAACUGAAUUUUCCCUUUAGUCAGCAUUAGGGUUUUAAACCCUAAACUGAACUUUUUCCAUUCAGCCAGCAUUAGGGAUUUAAACCUUAAACUGAGCUUUUCCAUGCAGUCAGCAUUAGGGUUUUAAACCCUAAACUGAACUUUUCCUUUUAGUCAGCAUUAUGGUUUUAAACCCUAAACUGAACUUUUUCCAUUCAGCCAGCAUUAGGGUUUUAAACCCUAAACUGAACUUUUCCAUGCAGUCAGCAUUAGGGUUUUAAACCCUGAACUGAAUUUUCCCCUUAGUCAGCAUUAGGGUUUUAAACCUUAAACUGAACUUUUUCCAUUCAGCCAGCAUUAGGGUUUUAAACCCUAAACUGCGCUUUUCCAUGCAGUCAGCAUUAGGGUUUUAAACCCUGAACUGAACUUUUUCCCUUUAGUCAGCAUUAGGGUUUUAAACCCUAAACUGAACUCUUUUCUUUAGUCAGCAUUAGGGUUUUAAACCCUAAACUGAACUUUUUCCCUUUAGUCGGCAUUAGGGUUUUAAACCCUAAACUGAACUUUUUCCAUUUAGUCAGCAUUAGGGUUUUAAACCCUAAACUGAACUUUUUCCAUUUAGUCAGCACUAGGGUUUUAAACCCUAAACUGAACUCUUUCCUUUAGUCAGCAUUAGGGUUUUAAACCCUAAACUGAACUUUUUUCCUUUAGUCAGCAUUAGGGUUUUAAACCCUAAACUGAACUUUUUUCCCUUUAGUCAGCUUUAGGGUUUUAAACCCUAAACUGAACUUUUUCCAUUUAGUCAGCAUUAGGGUUUUUAAACCCUAAACU